GCUUUCAGUCUCAGCACGCCAAGCAGUUUCUAAAGAGUUCUCACUGCCUCCAGACUCCGCUGAUGCGAUUGAGACAGAUUGACCAAUAAGUGCAACCCAUGGAAUAUCAGUUGUUUUCGGAGGUCCCUGGUUUGAAAGAAGAGCCUGAACUGCUGCAAGCGCUUUUGGGUUCUCUGCUGCCUGGUCAAUUUUGCUGAUAAUUCCUACGGUCCUAGUGCCUAUAAACAGGGAAAUAUGUGAAUAUUUUUUUGUUCUAGUAAAUUUUAAGAAAAUCCAAUGGUUUAGUACGGCCAAUCGCAAUACUUCAAAAAUGUAAUGAAGGGUUUCAAUAAUGAAAUUUUUAAUGCACUCACUGUCUGGAUCAUACUCCUUUGCGGUCUUCAGGGCUCGACAGGAAGAAAUCUCAGACGCCUGGCUAGCAGGCACAAUAACCAACAGUAUGGCAUCGUUGUGCUGUGCAUGUUCACCAAUCUUGCCAAGAGAGUAAAGGAACAAAUUACAAGAAAUAAAAAUAAGAAAAUGAAUCUAUGUUUCCCUUUCAGCCAGAAAAUGUCGAAUAAAAAUGUUGAAAAUGUGUAUGGUUGACAGGUGGACCAGGGGAAUGACAAAGCAUCAUGCAGUUCAUAAUCUUACCAUUGCGUCAUCAACAAUUCUCUGGUCCAGUCCAGGCAAAUCAAUCAAUUUCAGUAGUGGAGCUGCAAUUUAAAGGGGACAAAUAUGUCAUGAUGAUUAAAGAAAACAGUAAGGAAGCAAUUGAUAUGUAGUGCUUCAUAGCCUUUGUUUAUACAUAUAAUCCGAUAUCCACAACUUAGCUUAGAUUCUAUCUACCCCAAAAAAAAAAGUGAAGCUGCUAAUGUGCAUUUUAGUUAGUGGUCGCAACACAUUACAGCUGAGUCGUUCACUGAUGUCAGGGACAUAUUCAGAUACCCAAAACUUAGCUUCGAUAAUAUGAAGGCUAAAUUGACCAAAAAAUGCGGCUUCAGAAUUAUGAUUGUCUAAGUAAGAAAGGACUUACCAGUGCUUGUACGAAGCUUUAGGUAUAUUUCAUCACGACCCCUCCCUGUGGCUCCUUUGCUAAGCCUAUCCUGUAGAGAAUGUCUUAGGGCACCUACAUAACAUCCAUGCAGAACAAACGAAAACAUUACAUACACUGUAUCCUACAUGCAGAAAUAAAAUUACAAAUCAAUUCCAAAUUACAUAGGUGCAUAUAGGGAGCCUUACUUGCAGAAACUUGUUGAGAUUUAUUGUCAAUUUGCAAGAUUAUUGCCUUGCUGCUCAGAGAUUCCUCCCUACUGAGGUCAAUGAUGAUAGGAGCCCGUGUAGCACCAUUCUCACCCGUCGGCUGUCCAUCGUAGUAGGUCCCAAACAGAGACAGAAGAAGGGGGUUAGCUUAAAGAAAUUGCAUUAGCUUAAAAAAAAAAACUCCCGCACACUCUGUAUACAAGUUACCAGAACUGGAUGUCCAAUUAAGGUAUUCAAAACUGCGGACUUCCCAGCUCCCUGUUCCAGCAAGCAAAGCGAGAAAACUUAACCCUUAUAGGUUCCAGUGACAUCUUCCAGCAGACAAGUGACAACAGAGAAAUCAAUCUGACAAGCAAAGCUCAUACUUUGUGCAAGUGAAACUCUCACAUUUUCAAAUAUCAAACACAUCAACCUUAUUCCUUCCAGGUAUUAACCUCAUAGAAUCAAACAAUUCAUGAUGAAGACAACCACAGCAAAACAAGCUCCGAACCAAGAAUGCAUCCUACUAAACUCCUAGAUUACAGGUAUAAAUAUAUUUCAACAAACCUCAUUGAGAUCCACCAUACGGCAUCCAAAAUCUACACUAACUAAAUACAAACACACAUCGAAGAGAAAGGAAACCCCCACCACAUUUCCUAGGGCAACAACGUUGAGAGAAGUAGCCGGGCGUCUAGAAGAAGAGCUCUCCUCGGGAUCUUCGUCAGCGAGCAGCGCCGCCGCUUGUCUCAUUGAAUCCGAAAGCUGAGACAACUCAUCGAUCGCCUCCAUAAUAGAGCUCGAAUUAUCGGAUUCAAUAGUACGAGAUCUACACGAAGAAAAGCCACUAGAUCCGAAAUGGAUGACUACACAGGGCGCUGAAUUUUCCGGCGUUAAAGAUCACCGGAAUUUCAAAUUCGGUCGCGACGGUGCUAAGCUAAGAUGUGCCUUUUCGUCGGGGUGAGAAUGAGCGAAGACGACUCAUACAACACCCAAACUCGUUUAUUCGUUAUUAAUUAUUAUUAAUUUACAAAUAUUUCAAAUUUCAACAAAAAAAGAAAACUGAAUUUUACACAAAUGUAAAAGGACAAUUGCAUUUUAAAUCAUAAAGUUGGCAAAAGUUUGGACUUUAACUCUACUGCUAACGCUUAAAACACUGAAAUUUGUUUCAGUAAGAUAUUAAAUAUUGAAACUAAUUUAUUUGUUUAACACAUCAAAACUGGUACUCUUACUAGUCAAAAUAGGUGACAUGAUGGUUUAUUCGUUUAAAUAUAUACUUUUAAUUAUUUUAAGAGAAAAAAACCAAAAUAGCACUAAAUCAAGUUUUUGUUCCCAAACUAGCAUUCAAUGCAAAAAAUCACAAAAAUAGCACUCAAGGGGUGGGGUUUAGGGUUUAAAAUUUAGGGUUUAGGGUUUAGAAUUUAGGUUUUAGGGUUUAGAGUUGAGAAGUGAGGUUUUAGGGAUAAGAUUUCAAAUUUUGAAAAAUAAAAAAAUUUAAAAUUUUCAAAAGAUAAAAUGCUAUUUUGGUCAUUUUAGUUUUUGAGUGCUAUUUUUGUGAUAUAAACUUAGAAAGGUGUUAUUUUAGAGAUUUGCCCUUAUUUUAAUUAGUAUAAAAAAAUAAAUUAGAUAAAAAUUCAAAAUAAAUUUUAAAACUUGAUACAAAAAUUCAAAAAAACACAAAAAAAAUUCAGUACAAAAUUAAAAAAUAAAAAUAAAAGGGGGAAUUUCAUGUUUAGCACUUUCAUUCUACCGUUAUUCAUCUUUACCACCACUAAAUGAAUAUUUUCAAUAUUGUAAUAGAGAGAUAGGCAACAAACAUAAAAUGCUCUCGAUGGCGACACAAACGGCGAUCUAGGUUCUACGCUCUCGAUGCCUUCUCACCGGUGGGAUCCAGGAAUCGGCGGCGAAGUUGGGUUAGGAAAUGAAAAUCAUGAAGAAAAGAAAAAGGAAACUUCAAUAAGGGGAUCUUUUUCAAAUCUCCGAUGUUGUAGAUCGGGUACAGGAAUUUGGAUUCAAUGGUUUUUAUGGAAAUCAAGGAUAUCUGCGAAAUGGAUCUCGAUAUUGGCAAUCAUAUCGAUGAAAUCGCAUGACUACUCAGGUAUUAUCUCUGAUCAAUUUUAAGGAAUCUAAUAUGUUAUAAGGACAACGGAGGAAUCAUUCACGGAUUUGAUUUGAUUGAUAUAUGGAGAUUGGUGAUUUUCGAUGGUUUUGAUAAGAGGAUCUCAUGGAAAAGUCGGGAGAUGCGAUAUAAUCUCGUGUUAAUUUUGAGAUAUUUGGCAUUAACGAGGGAACAUAUUUAAUAACAUUACUUUAAAAUUGAUAUACUAACAAUAUAUUAAACCAAAGUAUUGAACCGCGUUUGAUCCGGUCGAACCAUAUUGAACCGUGACCCAAAAAAAUUUCGGUUCAGCUUCCGGUCUGGUUUUAAAAACACUGGUAUAAUGUUAAUUAUGGAGCAUCUAUAUUUUGUCAUCAGCACUAACGUAAAGAAAACGUUUUCUGUGUAAAGGAUUAUAUACUGCUAGCAUAACAGUUAAAAUUAAAAUGCACACAGCUUUCUCUUUUGCAAAUAUUUGAAUAGCAUGAAGGAUACUUGUUAUAAACGCUAACCUUUCCAGUCUUUUCAUUCAGAACAAACCAUCGCCUACUCCAGCCAUUUGUCUUUGCACUUUUCUUCAUCAAGUACCCUGUGCAACAGAGUAAAGUUAAGUUGAAGACCAUGGAAGCUGGUUUUAUAACAAACUAAAACCAUGAAAGUGCAUCUUGCACUACUUCACGCUAAAGUCGCAGGCAAGAAAAAGAAAAAAAAGAUAUCGUCAACUGAAAGAAAAACUUGAAAGCUGGUGAUUAUUUAUCAUCAAGUAAUUUCAAGGAAAAAAAAAAGAAAAGUAAUUUCAAGAAAAGCCGAUCCUACACCAGUCCACAGCUUAACUGGCAGUUUGGAAAUAGAAAAGACGAAGAAAUCACGCCAUUGAGCUGUAAGAUAAGCUUAGCAGCAAUAAAUGCAAGGUCGGAGCAAAAAGAACUACGUUAGAAAGCCACUGUGAAGAAAUUAUAUUAAAGUAAGGACCUGCUGUUAUCUCCCCCUCAGGUCCCGCAGUCUUUAGACCAGAGACCUCUGGCGUUUCUUUAUCUUUGUCUUUAUCUUUAUCUUGCGGAAGAAAUUUGUCUUUUAAUGAUUUCAAGCUACCACCAGUUGAUGAACCAUCUGGCUGAGGACUAGAUGCCUGGUUUACAAAGCAGAAACGAGAAUUGUUACAUCAUUAAUUUAUAUAAAAAACUUGAAAGCAAUAUCCAGUAUGAAAAAUCCAGAUCUAUUUUGAGAUAAAGGCAAACCCUGUUUAGGAGAGAUUGCUCUGCAUCUUGUCCCUUUUUAGAUGAACGACCUUUAAGCUCGUCCUCACGACGUUGCCUUUCCAUUCUGACAACGAUAGUAAACCGUGCAGCCAGAGGACGUAACAAUAAUGAGAUAUGCAUCAAAAACGAAAACAAUAAAGCUUGUGGUAAUGAGUAUAUUAUAAAUAUCAGGACUUGUGCGGCAAAUUCUGCAGCUAUGGGACUAUUAAGAAAGGUGAAUAUGUAACUGUAGUGAAGGCAAAUUCUGCAGCUAUGGAACUAUUAAGAAAGGUGAAUAUGUAACUGUAGUUAAAACUGUCAUACAGUUAAAGAAAGAAAUUAAAUUAAUGAUCAACCAGUUCGAUGAGCUAAAGCCACUCGAAAUGAUAGCACCGAAAAACAAAGACAGGAAAGCUGAUGUUACCUUCUUUGUACGAGGCGGAUGAAGUGCUGAGGUGGAACAAAUGCACGCUCCAUAUCAACUAGUGCAACUACCAUCUUCUUAGCUUCAUUCUUGAAUACAUCAAGUGCAGCACUAGCUAUAGCAACGACCUGGUUCAUAAGCAUAUUAAGAAAAGGAAUGCAAUUAUGAAGAUGAAAACUUAGCAGUGAAAAGCACUAAUACCUCUCUCUUAAAAGGAGGAUAUCUCCCAAGACCAGGUGUGGCAUUCGCGGAAGCUGAAACUAUGUCAACAAGCACUCGGUGAACCUAAUCAAAAGUUCAGCCCGUAAGCAACCAGUUAUGAAAAAUAAAAAUGAAACUUGACAGUAUUGACAAUAAGACUGAGUAGGACUCCAAUAAAUCUAGAUCGUGACAACUAAAAUAUAUAGUAAUAUGUGUUGAACAGACCAUGAGUAACAAGCAAUGGCCAAUGUUCGCAACUAGUAAUUUAGGCAUUUCAAUCCUAUGCAGCUGAAGGUAGAGGAAGCAACACUAGAUAAACUAUAAAUGCUAACAUCGACACACCUCAUCAACGCAUAGUCGUGCUGGGUCUUUAGCUAACUCAAGAACAAUCUUUAUCAACGAUCUCAACCCUUUCUCCGGAGAUAUAAGAUAAGGUUGAUAACCAUCUGCCUCUAAUACAAUCUGAAACGGUUAGGAAAUCAACUGUCAAACUCCCAUCUAAAUUUUUAUUUGCUCAUAUGAUUUGAGGCAAAAAAAUGCAGAAACCCACCCUUUUUACAUUAUUCAAGUCAAAGUAUCUAUCCAAUGGAAGAUGCUUUAUACGGUUGGGGAAAUUGCCUUCAAAACUUGCAACAACUUUCCAACCACUUCCCUGCACAAAAUUUUGUUAAAAACAACAAUAAUUUACAGAGCUCCAAAAGUGGCUUCACCACAUGAAAGGCACAAUCACAAGACAUGCAAUUCAAAAACUUGUUCAGUGAAAAGUAGAGUAUGCACAUCCAAUAUUAGUUUCAUUAAAUUCCAGCUGAUAUUAAGGCAAUCGUCCUGAAGUUUUUUAUCCUCUCUACAUUAAAACAGCACUAAACCUUUUCCGUUACAAGUAGCACAACGAAAACGGUGAUCAGAUAUUUUACUUGGCAAUCAGGGUGUGCUUAUUUAAAGUUUCCAGACUAUAGUAUUAUUCAGCUUAUGUAGGAAAAUACUCACUUCACCACCAGCCAAGUGGAGAAGAAAUUUGUCCUCAAACUCACGGCAAAGCUCCAAAGCUAUAGCCCUUGUACCUUCAACACUACUAACUAGUUGUUCGCCAAGCCUUGCUAAUUCGUCUUGCACUACUUGAGACUUACCCUGGAGUCUGCAUGUAAGCACAGAAUUUGAACGUUCAGAGUUUUCAAAAGAACCAGAAUUAUGUCCCUGAAUAAUCAUCCAGAAAACUAAAACAAAAGACAGUAAUGACACGGGAGAUGGAAGAAACAUAUCAGAUUCACAGAGGAUAAGCAUAGACCAUAUUGGGAUAAAGCUUUCUAGUACAUAUCAUGAGAAGUGCGCUAAUAAGGAUGGGAGCUUGAAAGUUCAAGUAACUAAACCUAAAGACUACUUCCACUUCAAAGAUUAAGAAGCGGGUAGGCUUUCAUGCAGCAAACUGCAAGUCUUCCCUAAAGUACAAGUAUAGAAAAUAUGCAAAACAAGCAAUCCAUUUUCAUUUGCAAAUAUAGCAUCUUAAAGCAAACAUAUAGAGCGAGAAAAUACCCAGACAAGAUAUUUGGUAGCCUGAGCUUCAUUCUGCUACGAAUCUGGCUAGCAAGAGUGUCCACCAGGGCAAUUCUGCCAAGUUUGCUUUGUGGAGCACCAGUUAAAAUGGAUUUGAGGCUUUCAGUCUCAGCACGCCAAGCAGUUUCUAAAGAGUUCUCACUGCCUCCAGACUCCGCUGAUGCGAUUGAGACAGAUUGACCAAUAAGUGCAACCCAUGGAAUAUCAGUUGUUUUCGGAGGUCCCUGGUUUGAAAGAAGAGCCUGAACUGCUGCAAGCGCUUUUGGGUUCUCUGCUGCCUGGUCAAUUUUGCUGAUAAUUCCUACGGUCCUAGUGC
rnacentral:lncRNA from 1 species